GCCACAUCAUGCUGAAACAACAAUUCUCGUAUGAUCAUCAAAGUUAAGCAAUGUCAAACCUGGUCAGUACUGAGAUGGGUGACCACUUGGGAAACCCAGGUGCUGGA